rnacentral:rRNA from 1 species
UGGGGAAUAUUGCGCAAUGGGGGAAACCCUGACGCAGCGACGCCGCGUGCGGGAUGAAGGCCUUCGGGUUGUAAACCGCUUUUGAUUGGGAGCAAGCUUUCGGGUGAGUGUACCUUUCGAAUAAGCGCCGGCUAACUACGUGCCAGCAGCCGCGGUAAUACGUAGGGCGCAAGCGUUAUCCGGAAUUAUUGGGCGUAAAGAGCUUGUAGGCGGUUAGAUAAGUCUGAAGUUAAAGGCAGUGGCUCAACCAUUGUAGGCUUUGGAAACUGUUUAACUUGAGUGCAGAAGGGGAGAGUGGAAUUCCAUGUGUAGCGGUGAAAUGCGUAGAUAUAUGGAGGAACACCGGUGGCGAAAGCGGCUCUCUGGUCUGUAACUGACGCUGAGGCUCGAAAGCGUGGGGAGCGAACAGG